UUGCCCAUGCAAAGCCACUAGCACCUGAGGCUGGUGCUGGCCCUGUUAAUAUACUAAAGCCAUGGGGUACGCCAUUGAUCUGCUUGUUGAGAAUUGUUCUGCUUUUCCUGCACAAAUCAGGAUACAGAAGUAAAUAAAAGCCGCAGUCAUCUUCAAGAAAUGUAGGAUUGUGCACUGAGAAAGAUCGAGUACAUCAGUUGAAAACUCAUGCACUUUACCUCCUGUCUUUUUCCUGAGAUAACGGAGAUCCACCUUAGUUGCAGAAAUUGGAAUUCAAGUGCUCGGUUUUAUUGGAAGGCAUAACCAGACCAACUACAGUAUCUAGUUUAAGAGCUGGCCUCAGUUACUCAAACUUGGACGUAAUUAAUGGUUCAAUGGGCAGCAUAACCGUAACAGCUAAUGAUUAUGAAAACAGAAUGAUGAUGUUUUCUUUGUGAAGUGGUUUUGGUGACUUUUAACAUGAAACCAAAUACACUCAAAGCUAAAUAGAGCCCUGACAAUGAUGCAACAUAUAAGUUUCAUUCCAUUAUCACAACAAACGAGAACAAAUGCAUGGAAAGACGCAAAACAGGGGAGAAGACAAGUAGAAAAAUAGUCAUGUCCAUGACAAAUUCUGAAAAGAC